GGGCGACAGCAGAGCCAGUGUGUUGAAGCUGUGCAAUUUUCUAUCUCAGCACAAGAACUCUGGCAGUCAGAGCUGCGUCAAGAUGACGGUGGAGGUGCAGCUCCUGUAGGAGAGUGUUCAAGGGUGGGUUGGCUUUGCCCAAGAGACUAUUCCGGUAUUCCAUGUUCCAGUCCUGAGAGUCAUGACAAUGAGUCCUUUAAGGAUCUAAAGUCAUGAACCUGAAGCCUGUAUUUUGACUAGUCUAAAAUGUUAUAAUCUUGGAUUUAACGAAAACCAGCUAUCAAUUUUGACUUUGUCUUUAACUCAUCAGGGUAUAAUGGCCUUCAAGAUUUGUACUGCAGGAAGUGCUGAAAGAAGUUAGAUGGGAAUUCAGGUCUACAAUGAAGACUACAUACCCGAGAAAAGAACCGAGUCUCAAGCCUGGAACCUGAUUGUUGCUUGGUAAAUGUAGUACCAUGCAUGAAAGCACUGAGUGGGGACUCCAGGGGAAUUCUUCAGCACCUCAGCAGAAGCUUCCUGCAGAACAGCUAGUGUUAGUGCCCAAUGGGCAGCUUCCUUUCCAACACACCCACCGAAUUUGCCAACAUCUUGACAAGUAGUCUUUUGCAGAGUCCCCACCAGACAAUGGCCCACAAAACCCUGUAAAGUUUUCUGUAUUCAGCAGGUUGUAACUGUACCCACUCCAAUAAGGUCUAAACCUCAGCUUGGGGAUGAACUGGUUGUCUUCCAAAGUUUUAGUUCUUUCUUUGAAUAUUUUCUUUUAUCUUGGGGAUAUGACUGCUCCCAACAUUUGCUAUGAGUCCUCGUUAUGUUGUUGAGUAGUUAAUCAGAUUUUACUAGUUAAAAAUUUUGCAGACACAUUUUCCUUGUUCAAAUUUUUAGUGUGGUUUCUUUUUUUGACUGGACCAUGACUGAUUCAAUUGCACAUAGUUAUUGGGCUCCUAUAAGGUGCCAGGCACUAUGCCAGGUACCUGGCAGUAAAAAGUAGGCAAGGUUCUUGUCCUCAAAACUCCUUCAGCUUCCAUAUAAUGAACAAGUGAGGUGUUAUGGCAGGGAAACAUCAUUAGGAUGAGAUUCAUGGAGUAGGAUUGAAAAUGUUCUGCUUAAAGAAGCAACACUUCAAACAAAACCAAAGAUCAGUACAAAUUAGCCAGAAAAAGAGGUAAGGAAAGAGAGUUUCAGCAAAGGGAAUAGUUUGUUCAAGACUGAGAGUCAGACUUAGAAGUGGCAUGUUGUAAGACCUGUGGCCUGGAGAGGGAGAAAGAUGGAAACAGGGCCUUGUUCUCUGCAAGCGUGGACAACUAUAUUAGCAAUUCUGGAUUUUAUCUAGUACUUAACAGGGUUGUUGAAUCACUUACAAAUUGUUAGCAAAGAUGUGACAUUGUCAGAUGUUUGUGUUUUUAAACUCAGAGUGGUAGCUUGUGUUCCUGAGUGCACAUGGGAAACACUGAGGGUGCUUAAGUAAAACCUGAGUGAAUGCUGGUGGCCCCUCAACAUUCACACAUAGAAACCUGAUGUCCAGUGUGAUAAUAUUGAGAAACAAGGCCUUGGGGAAAUGCUUAAGUGCCUCAAGGGCUCCACUUUCACGAGUGGAAUCAGUACCCUUAUAAAAGAGGCUCCAGGGGCUGGGGAUUUAGCUCAGUGGUUCCACCACCUGCCUUGCAAGCACAAGGUCCUGAGUUCAA